CCUACGGGAGGCAGCAGUAGGGAAUAUUGGACAAUGGGCGCAAGCCUGAUCCAGCCAUCCCGCGUGAAGGAUUAAGGCCCUCUGGGUUGUAAACUUCUUUUCUCUGGGAAUAAAAACCGGUAUUCAUACUGGCUUGAAGGUACCAGAGGAAUAAGCACCGGCUAACUCCGUGCCAGCAGCCGCGGUAAUACGGAGGGUGCAAGCGUUAUCCGGAUUCACUGGGUUUAAAGGGUGCGUAGGUGGCUUUGUAAGUCAGUGGUGAAAUGCCGCAGCUCAACUGCGGAACUGCCAUUGAUACUGCUUAGCUUGAAUCACGUCGAGGUGGAUGGAAUAAUACAUGUAGCGGUGAAAUGCUUAGAUAUGUAUUAGAACACCGAUUGCGAAGGCAGUUCACUAGGCGUGUAUUGACACUGAGGCACGAAAGCGUGGGGGAUCAAACAGGAUUAGAUACCCUGGUAGUCCACGCCCUAAACCGAUGUAAACUCGACAUUAGCGAUAUACUGUUAGUGUCCAAGCGAAAGCGUUAAGUUUACCACCUGGAAGUACGACCGCAAGGUUGAAACUCAAAGGAAUUGACGGCUGAGAGAGCGAGACGACGACGAGGGAGGAGG
rnacentral:rRNA from 1 species